rnacentral:rRNA from 1 species
AACGAACGCUGGCGGCAGGCCUAACACAUGCAAGUCGAGCGAGGACUUCGGUUCUAGCGGCGGACGGGUGAGUAACGCGUGGGAAUGUGCCCUUCUCUACGGAAUAGCCCUGGGAAACUGGGAGUAAUACCGUAUACGCCCUAUUGGGGAAAGAUUUAUCGGUGAAGGAUCAGCCCGCGUUGGAUUAGGUAGUUGGUGGGGUAAUGGCCUACCAAGCCGACGAUCCAUAGCUGGUUUGAGAGGAUGAUCAGCCAGACUGGGACUGAGACACGGCCCAGACUCCUACGGGAGGGAGCAGUGGGGAAUCUUAGACAAUGGGGGCAACUCUGAUCUAGCCAUGCCGCGUGAGAGAUGAAGGCCUUAGGGUUGUAAAGCUCUUUCAGCUGGGAAGAGAAUGACGGUACCAGCAGAAGAAGCCCCGGCUAACUCCGUG